GCCAUGUUUAGCUGGGACGUGCUUUAUAAGUGGGCACAUGAUAUGAGGAUUGAGUAGAAAUGGGCUAUUCCAUUUAAUAUCCGUACCCCCCUGUCGAGGAUACAUGUUUUUCAUUGUCAUACCCCUGAAGAAUUCCAAGCUCAAAACUGUUUACCCCUGAAGAAUUCCAAAAUUCCAAGCUCAAAACUCUUUACCCCUGAAGAAUUCCAAGCUCAAAACCUUUUAUCCCUGAAGAAUUCCAAAAUUCCAAGCUCAAAACCCUUUACCCCUGAAGAAUUCCAAGCUCAAAACCUUU